rnacentral:rRNA from 1 species
UACGUAGGGUGCGAGCGUUGUCCGGAAUUAUUGGGCGUAAAGGGCUCGUAGGCGGUUUGUCGCGUCGGGAGUGAAAACCAGGUGCUUAACACCUGGCUUGCUUUCGAUACGGGCAGACUAGAGGUAUUCAGGGGAGAACGGAAUUCCUGGUGUAGCGGUGAAAUGCGCAGAUAUCAGGAGGAACACCGGUGGCGAAGGCGGGACUCUGGGACGGUACUGACGCUGAGACGCGAAAGCGUGGGGAGCGAACAGG